GGUCCUGUAGCUCAGUGGUUGGAGCGAUGGUCUUACGAGCCAUAGGCCGUGGGUUCGGCCCCCGCUGGGACUA
rnacentral:tRNA from 1 species